ACUCCUACGGGAGGCAGCAGUGGGGAAUAUUGCACAAUGGGCGCAAGCCUGAUGCAGCCAUGCCGCGUGUAUGAAGAAGGCCUUCGGGUUGUAAAGUACUUUCAGCAGUGAGGAAGGUGGGUAUGUUAAUAGCAUAUUCAUUUGACGUUAGCUGCAGAAGAAGCACCGGCUAACUCCGUGCCAGCAGCCGCGGUAAUACGGAGGGUGCGAGCGUUAAUCGGAAUUACUGGGGCGUAAAGCGCAUGCAGGUGGUUUGUUAAGUCAGAUGUGAAAGCCCGGGGCUCAACCUCGGAAUUGCAUUUGAAACUGGCAAACUAGAGUACUGUAGAGGGGGUAGAAUUUCAGGUGUAGCGGUGAAAUGCGUAGAGAUCUGAAGGAAUACCGGUGGCGAAGGCGGCCCCCUGGACAGAUACUGACACUCAGAUGCGAAAGCGUGGGGAGCAAACAGGAUUAGAU
rnacentral:rRNA from 1 species